AAUAUUGGACAAUGGGGGCAACCCUGAUCCAGCCAUGCCGCGUGUGUGAAGAAGGUCUUCGGAUUGUAAAGCACUUUAAGUUGGGAGGAGGGGCUUUAGGUUAAUACCCUGAAGUUUUGACGUUACCAACAGAAGAAGCACCGGCUAACCCUGUGCCAGCAGCCGCGCUAAUACAGAGGGUGCAAGCGUUAAUCGGAAUUACUGGGCGUAAAGCGCGCGUAGGUGGUUCAGAAAGAUGGGUGUGAAAACCCCGGGCUUAACCUGGAAACUGCUUUCAUAACUGCUGAGCUAGAAUACGGUAGAGGGUAGUGGAAUUUCCUGUGUAGCGGUGAAAUGCGUAGAUAUAGGAAGGAACACCAGUGGCGAAGGCGACUACCUAGACUGAUACUGACACUGAGGUGCGAAAGCGUGGGGAGCAAACA
rnacentral:rRNA from 1 species